rnacentral:rRNA from 1 species
AUACCCGCUCCGCGAGUGGUGGGGACUUUUACUGGGCUUAAAGCGCCCGUAGCCGGCUGGGUGCGUCCUCCGUUAAAUCCACAGGCCUAACCUGUGGGCUGCGGGAGAUACUACCCGGCUUGGGGGUGGGAGAGGGCGGCGGUAUUCCCGGGGUAGGGGUAAAAUCCACUGAUCCCGGGAGGACCACCAGUGGCGAAGGCGGCCGCCCAGAACACGCCCGACGGUGAGGGGCGAAAGCUGGGGGAGCAAACGGGAUUAGAAACCCUAGUAGUCC